rnacentral:lncRNA from 1 species
CUAUUAACUUCAGAGGCAUCAACAACAAACAUAAAAAAGAUUCAGAACUUCAGAGGUAUCUCUGAAACCCUAGCUUUGCUGAUCAGAAAAUGCCCAGCACUAUCUGGCAAAAGACAAACACAGGUGCCAUAAUUAAUUUCCAAACAGGAUUUAAGUAACUAUUUCUAGAGAGAGAGAGAGGGAGAGGCAGGAGGGACAGACCUGGAAUAUUAUAGAGAGGGGAAGAGACAAAAUCUCCAUCCAUCCGUUGCCAAAUGAAUGUUCUUCUUUCUUCCUGGGAACACGACGGCCUGUUCCCCUGCAUCUAAUCUCUCGCUCUCUUUCCAUUAAAUUGAAUUUGUGCAGAACAUGGGUGACGAAC